AGCAAACGUAUAAAAACGAUAUCAAAAAUCAACAAAAACAAUUAACUCGCAAAUACGCUACAAAUAAACAAACAACAAUAAUAACGACCGGCACUUAUACGGCAAGGAAUGUGAAACCUUUUUUGAAUUAAACAACAAUAACAAAAGGC